GACGAACGCUGGCGGCGUGCUUAACACAUGCAAGUCGAGCGGUAAGGCCUUUCGGGGUACACGAGCGGCGAACGGGUGAGUAACACGUGGGUGAUCUGCCCUGCACUUCGGGAUAAGCCUGGGAAACUGGGUCUAAUACCGGAUAUGACCUCCUAUCGCCUGGCGGGUGGAGGAAAGAUUUAUCGGUGCAGGAUGGGCCCGCGGCCGAUCAGCUUGUUGGUGGGGUAAUGGCCUACCAAGGCGACGACCGGUAGCCGACCUGAGAGGGUGAUCGGCGACACUGGAACUUAGACACGGCCCCGACUCCUACGGGAGGCAGCAGUGGGGAAUAUUGGACAAUGGGCGCAAGUCUGAUCCAGCGAUCCCGCGUGUGUGAAGAAGGCCCUCGGGUUGUAAAGCCCUUUUGCUGGGAAAGAAAAGCAGCAGGUUAAUACCCCGCUGUUCUGACGGUACCCAAAGAAUAAGCACCGGCUAACUUCGUG
rnacentral:rRNA from 1 species